rnacentral:lncRNA from 1 species
GCUGCUUCAAAUCCCGAUGGCGGAGAUGUCGACCUGCAUAUAAAUGGCGAGUCAAUUCAAUUGUCUUGCCAUUCCAGAGAAGUUGAGUGGUACAAUGCAUCCAUCUAAAUGUAGUAGAUAACUUGUCAUGUUGGUGCCUGGUCCAAAGAGUGCUACUGCUACUGCUACAUACAAUACAUAGUUGCUCUGGUUACAGUUGUA